UACGAAGGGUGCAAGCGUUACUCGGAAUUACUGGGCGUAAAGCGUGCGUAGGUGGUGAGUUAAGUCUGUCGUGAAAUCCCCAGGCUCAACCUGGGAAGUGCGCGCGAAACUGGCGAGCUUGAAUGCCGGAGAGGGUCGCGGAAUUCCCGGUGUAGAGGUGAAAUUCGUAGAUAUCGGAAGGAACACCAGUGGCGAAGGCGGCGACCUGGACGGACAUUGACGCUGAGACGCGAAAGCGUGGGGAGCAAACAGG
rnacentral:rRNA from 1 species